AUCCGGCUGACGAGUCCCAAAUAGGACGAAACGCGCGUCCUAAAU
rfam:Schistosoma curassoni strain Dakar, Senegal genome assembly, scaffold: SCTD_scaffold0001732